rnacentral:rRNA from 1 species
GAUGAACGCUGGCGGCGUGCUUAACACAUGCAAGUCGAACGAUGAAGCCCAGCUUGCUGGGUGGAUUAGUGGCGAACGGGUGAGUAACACGUGAGUAACCUGCCCUUAACUCUGGGAUAAGCCUGGGAAACUGGGUCUAAUACCGGAGAGGAGCGUCCACCGCAUGGUGGGUGUUGGAAAGAUUUAGCGGUUUUGGAUGGACUCGCGGCUUAUCAGCUUGUUGGUGAGGUAAUGGCUCACCAAGGCGACGACGGGUAGCCGGCCUGAGAGGGUGACCGGCCACACUGGGACUGAGACACGGCCCAGACUCCUACGGGAGGCAGCAGUGGGGAAUAUUGCACAAUGGGCGCAAGCCUGAUGCAGCGACGCCGCGUGAGGGAUGACGGCCUUCGGGUUGUAAACCUCUUUCAGUAGGGAAGAAGCGAAAGUGACGGUACCUGCAGAAGAAGCACCGGCUAACUACGUG